GACGAACGCUGGCGGCGUGCCUAAUACAUGCAAGUAGAACGCUGAAGGAGGAGCUUGCUUCUCUGGAUGAGUUGCGAACGGGUGAGUAACGCGUAGGUAACCUGCCUGGUAGCGGGGGAUAACUAUUGGAAACGAUAGCUAAUACCGCAUAAGAGUAGAUGUUGCAUGACAUUUGCUUAAAAGGUGCAAUUGCAUCACUACCAGAUGGACCUGCGUUGUAUUAGCUAGUUGGUGAGGUAACGGCUCACCAAGGCAACGAUACAUAGCCGACCUGAGAGGGUGAUCGGCCACACUGGGACUGAGACACGGCCCAGACUCCUACGGGAGGCAGCAGUAGGGAAUCUUCGGCAAUGGACGGAAGUCUGACCGAGCAACGCCGCGUGAGUGAAGAAGGUUUUCGGGAUCGUAAAGCUUCUGUUUGUUAAGGAGAAAGAAACGGAGUGUGAGGAGUGGGAAA
rnacentral:rRNA from 1 species